rnacentral:sRNA from 1 species
GCCGUGCUUUUCGUAUUGACAUGCAUAAUCUCGAUGUUUCCGUCCUCAAUCUAGUCAGGCUGAUUAUCAGACCGACCAACUAUUUAUUACAUGCGUGGUUAGGUGCGAGGAGGGAAAAAGGUCGUUGUCAUCUUAACGUUUAUUUAAGCUAGCAGAAUGCCCGCCGUUGUUGAAUGGAGCUGACCUGGAUGAUUUCUGCACAUGCGAUUUCCUUGGUUCUAUCUAUCAUUGAUAUUGCAGCUUGGAACCAUGCUCAACCCGUGAUUCUUUUUCGGUAUCAUCUUUUACAACCAGCUUCGGUGGGAUCUGAAAGAUAGUCCACACAACGCUACUUCAGCGAGACGCCGUGCUAUUCCUGGGCUCAUGUCAUUGGUAGCUGUGCUGGAUACUAGCAAGGGACUGCUAUGCAUCGAACGCAAUAUGCAUAUUUGUUGCUUUUCAUAACAAGAUUUCCUGUUAAUCCUUGGAUUGCGGCCAUAGAGUUAACAAUGGAAGUGUUGAAGUAGGAGGACAAUGUAACAUUUGCGGGUAGUAUUCAAGAAUGCGAGCAUAAAAAGGUUACUACCAAUAUAUGGAUUCGAAGGCGAGCAAGAAGGGU